GUUAUGUCAGCGGUCACUGCUGCGCUUCAGCCAAACAGCUUGGAAGUGAACUGUAAUGUAAAUCAGGGGCAGGGAGUUCACUUAGCAACGGUACGUGUCACUCUCCUUCCUCAGAACUAAACCCGUCUAAAAUUACAAUGUUUGGAUGUUCCUUUACUAGCUAAGAUAGAAUGGCUCGGGGUGAGCUCAUACCUGAAGUGUUUGGCUGCCUGUCCAUCCCUGUUCUGCUGGGCUGCACAACAUGGACCGUCUAUUUACGCUUGACACAAAUGCUUAAGAUGGGCCGAGGUGAGUGAUUGUGGCCCAGCAGAGGAGACAGAUGAUCUGCAGACACUGCGGAGGCAAAAAAUUAAGCUGCAAAUUAAAUUGUUGCUGCUCCAAGAGGAGUACUACAGCUUGGCUUUUUAAAAAAAG